UGGGGAAUAUUGGGCAAUGGGCGCAAGCCUGACCCAGCGACGCCGCGUGGGUGAUGAAGGCCUUCGGGUCGUAAAGCCCUGUCGGGUGGAAAGAACGAGGGGGGCGCGAAUAGCGCUUCUCUAUGACGGUACCACCGAAGGAAGCACCGGCCAAUUCCGUGCCAGCAGCCGCGGUAAGACGGAAGGUGCAAGCGUUGCUCGGAAUCACUGGGCGUAAAGGGUGCGUAGGCGGCUUGGUGGGUCUGGUGUGAAAGCCCCGGGCUCAGCCCGGGAAGGGCGCUAGAAACUGCCGAGCUCGAGUGCCGGAGGGGAGAGUGGAAUUCCUGGUGUAGCGGUGAAAUGCGUAGAUAUCAGGAGGAAUACCGGUGGCGAAAGCGACUCUCUGGACGGUAACUGACGCUGAGGCACGAAAGCGUGGGGAGCAAACAG
rnacentral:rRNA from 1 species